CCCUCCCCCCCCCCCCCCCUAAGGCAGCGAAGCUUCUCUGGGUAACAGUUUGAACACCAGCCAAGAGGAGCUCCGCCCAGCGGGCAUCUCGCUGACAGCUAAAGGUACGUGAGGGACCCCUACGUCUACAUGUGCGUCUUCCUAUCCUCAGCCACUCACCUUGAUGAGCCCUCGCCUGCACACACACUGCCUGACUACCUCCAGCACAUUUACGAUAAACAGCACCGAGCCAAGCGUGGCCCGCACGUACAUUAACAUUAUUUUUUUUUUUUUUAUCUCUGUCAUGUCAUCUCCUGGGCCAGAGUCUGUCUCCAAACACACCGUUUCUAGACGAGCUCAAAAGAAACCAGAAAGGAAUAAGACCAAACAAGAGGGGAAGAUAAGACCGUUUGUGAGGGCUGUGGAAAGAAAAGGGUUUGGAGAUCUCUGUAUCUGCAUGUCCUCUGGGUUCAGCACCUUGUCGUUGGUGAGAGAGUCUCGAGUCAACGCUAAUCAUGGCCAACGUGGAAUAGUCUCGGGGGCAGAAAGCAAAACACAAAGAAAUACACUGUUGUAAGGCAUCGAAACGCAAAGAAAAAGAAAAUAAAGCAAUUAAAAACAUCUUGCGGUUAUCGACGUGGAGGCCAUUGUUCUAGUGGGAGUCUCCCUUAGGAGGCAGGGAUGGGAAAUAAAAAGCACUUCUCUUUGUUUUUUGUUAUGAAUUACAGAAAAGAAAAAAAAAAGAAACGGUUUUGUGUCUUCUCAGUCUUGCUUUUUUAAAAACGCUUUUAAAAUGAUUAUUUAGAAAAGAAAAUUUAAAAAAUAAAGAAAGAAAAAACACACUGCAGAAAGAUCCCCGUCCCUGUCGAGGGGAAUAGGAAAAGCAGUUUGAUUUUGGCAGCUCUGCACAACUUGACAUCCGCAGAGAGCUCGCGGAGACUUCCCCCAUCGUAGUAAAAGUCGAGUCAAAUCACUCUACGUUUCUGAAAUCCGUCUCCCGCCGCCGUGCUCUCCAAACAACCCCUCCCCCCGCGUCCCGCUCCUCUCCCUGUGAUAUUUAUAAAACACAAUCCUCUGCGCCUUUAUUAUAGUGUCAACCCUCUCCGUUCCUCCACGCCUCCUUCCUCCUCCUCCUCCUCCUCCUCCUCCUCCUCCUCCUCCAGCUCCCGCUCCGCC
rnacentral:lncRNA from 1 species